UUGACCUCGGAUCAGGUAGGGAUACCCGCUGAACUU
rnacentral:rRNA from 78 species